UUCAGAGUCUUACCCUUUAGUCUAGGUAGAGAAUAGAUAGAUCACAAAAAUGAAUGGUUAUUCAAAGAUUGGUAGCACUUCUACUACUACAACCCAGAAAUCAAGAUCUAUAGAUUUUUCAGAUAUUUUCUCAUUUUCUCAAACACCAAAACCCAUCAGGAACACUACUACUGUUGUCCCUCCAACCACUCUUGAAGCAAUUAAUGAUAAUGAGGUCAUCAAGAAGAGGGAAGUAGAUGAAGGAGAGAGAUUUGGAGUGAUACUAGGUAGGAGCUCUUCAGUUUCAUCUUCAUCUUGUUCUGCAUCUGGGUUUCAGGCAACAAUGGAGAGAGCAUUUUCAAUAAGAUCUUCAUCGUCAGUUUCAGAGAGGUAUUGUAGGAUCCAUGAUCAGAACAUGGUAACAACAUCAUCAGAUGAUGAUGCAACGAAGAAGAAAAAACAUAGAGGAGGCAAGAUCCUUAAAGUCUGUAAGCGUUUCUUUGGAUUCUAGUUAAUAAUAGUAUUGUUGUAUAAUGAGAUUUGAAGGUUAAUUAAUUAACUAACUCUUUCAUUCCUUAUAAUUACUAUCCGUCUUAAUAAUUAGUUACAAAAAGGAAAGUAGAUUUUGUAAUGAGCUACUUUAAUUGAUUGUAAAGCAUAGAGAGGUUCAAGUGGAUAUGGAAUCUAGUAAUAAAUUUCCUUGUACGACGGAAAGAACAACAGUAGCAUCCAAAAAUGUGCCUUAAUGUUUCUGCGUAUGGAUUGGAGUUCCAAUUGCAUUCAACUUGGGAUUUCAAGAGAGUAUUAUACUAUCCUGUCGUCGUAUCCUUAAUUUAAAAAUGACAUUUUUUUUUAAUGUAUUUUAUAUAUUUCUUAGUCACCAAUGCAAAAAGAUUUAAAUGAUUAUAGGUUACACAAAAAAGAUUUAAAUAAUUAUAGGUUUUUGAUUUGUAUCUCUAGAAGUAUUCAAGGUUAAGUUAAUGUUAAAGUAUUUCGAAAAUACAUAUUCGAAUAUAUGUCGAAGAUGCAUCUCCCGAAUAUUUUGGAGUUUAAAUUCUGUCAAAAUCUUCUCCUUCAUCAUUUCUCAUAUUUCUCAAAACCUUUUCAAACUCUUUCAAUUUUUUUUCAUCGCCAAAUCCAAAAUCAAGCAACCAAGGUCAGAGAAACUUCAAUCAACAUCAGAAAUAUCAUCUAACACUUAAGCAAAGUGAAACAUCGUAAGUUUUUUUGAUGUUUUGAAAAGUUUUUGAAGUUUUGUUUAAAUGAGUAGAAAUUGACGAUUAAGUUAGGAAAUGAGUAGAAAUUAGAUGAUUGAUAGUUCAAACAUAGUGUAAAACAUGAUAGUUGAUUGAAAAUGAUGAUCAAUGCAAUAUUUUUUUGGUUUCCAUGUCUGCAUUGUUGCCACUGACGCAGCUACUGAGUUGUAAAACUUUUUGGAGAUGCAUCUCUGAAAUUUUUCAACGUUUUAGUUUCCCAGCAACCGGAGAUGCAUCUCCGGAAUUUUCUCAGUUUUUUUUAUUUUCUUGCUUGUGAUGUUGUUUGUUUGCACUAAGUGGCUGAUUUACUUUAACUUAUAUGCAUAAUGGAUGAUAGACUAGAUAGACUGGGGCACAAGAGGGUUGCACAACACGCAUCAGUGCGGCGGCAGAAGAGUCAACGGGUUUCAGAGGCUCAUUGUCCCUCUGGCCAUGCAAAGCCAUUUAUUUCUAGGACUCGUGCUUCUCCUUAUGUUUCUUCAUCUUCUUCUUCCCAUAUGAGAUGGAUUUCACCUACCGACACAUCACUCCCUCAAUCCUCCCGCGGGAGCUAGGUUUCCCUUAUUUAGGCGCCUAAGGUACCCGAGUCACCAGUGGUACCAGAGGCACCACUGCCACCUCCUACUGCUGAUGCUGCUGAGCCAGUGCCAUCUCCGGAGGGUGAGGCUGUUGCAGAUGCUGAGUCAUAGGCUUUUAGAGGAGGCCCUGUAGAUUUGUUAAUACUGCCUCAUUAUCCAGACCAUACUUCCAGACAUAUAUGAGACAGAGAGAUAGCAUUAAUUAGAUUCAUUCUUUUUAGUUUAUGUUUAUUUUAAUUGAUAAGUUUGUAACAUUGAUUUUUAUUUUUUUAAGGACUGUGAUCCGCUAAAGUUUAUUAAUCAAUGGCGAAAGAUUACUAGCUUGCCUCAGUCGAAUGACGAUUGGUUUCAGGUUACUUUGUCCCUAUCUGACCUGAAGGACUUGUGCAUGAUCAGUUAUAUUACGGUCAACCACAGGAUGCUUAAUGCAUUUGUGGAGAGAUGAAACUCGAAGACCUCCUCAUUUCAUCUCCCGCUUGGUGAGAUGUCUAUCACACUCGGCGAUGUCUCGUGUUUGCUAGAUCUUUCGAUUAGGGGGAGACUCCUAGAUAAUGAGAGGAUUACCAAAGACGAGGCAUUCGAGAUGAUGAUAGAAUAUCUAGGGGAUGACCCAGAGGAGGCGAAAGAGGAGUUGGAUAGGACCAGGGGCCUCAUGCUAGAUUUGAAUAUUUGAAAAGGGUAUAUACAAAGGACUUCCAAAGAUCACAUCAGGAUAUAGGUGAUGACGAGCAGGUGAGGCUCCACGGAGCGCAUGCUAUAAGAGCAUACUUGCUAUAUUUGGUAGGCACUGCGGUUUUUAUGGACAAGAGUGGCACUUAUACAAAUGUCGUCUACCUACGUUAGUUUCAGGAUUUUGAGAGGAUCCAUGAGUACAACUGGGGGGCGUUUGUUUGGUCUACUUGUACUCGAAGUUAUCAUAGGGUUGUAGGUGGAAGACGAAGUAGGUCAUAGGCAGUAUCAUACUAUUAACAGUAAUAUUUAUUGGUCUUUUAAUAUUUUUGUAUCAUUUUUAUUUUAUUUUUACAACGCCAUUACUUAGGAUUUAUGGAUUCCAAAAUUUUCAGGCUUAGAUCCUCCAACACUUCCCGCGCAUCUCCGGUUGAGCGAGUGUACCGACUUACUCUAAAGAUAUGUCGUGUGCUAUUGUAUUUUCCCCUCUUAGGAAAAGUCAGGCAAUUGAGUCGUUCAGAGUGUAUCUUGACCACUUGGUUGCUAAGGACAUGCACUUUAACAUCUACCGUGAGACACAUCCAUUUGACGAGGUAAUGUUAUACUCUGGAUGGUUGACAUGCGAAUCACGUUUCACUGCUUCUCAUCUGCCUGAGUGCGUCAUACGGCAGUUCGGUUACACACAGACCAUUCCCAAACACCCUGGUAUAUCUGCUCGUCCUGCUUUGACACGUAAACAGAUGGAUGACAUGUUUGAUGAUUAUGAUAGUCAUCUAAUACCGGAGGAGACACGGAGUACCAUAGCCCUGAGCGAGCAGAGCUACGUGGACGAGUACAUCAGGUGGUUCUUUAGGGUGUCACAUCCGUAUAUGGUGCAUGCUACUCCAGGAGAUCCACCGAAAUCAGCUCAUCAAGAGAUACUAGAGGAGGAGCAAGCACAGUUAGAUCAUGUUGAGGAUGUCUUGCAUACAUGUCAUCGCAUUAUGGAGAUUGCGCAAGCAGGCAUUGACAGAGGUAUCUACUCUGAUGGGUCUGAUGUGAGGCAGGUCCUAGACACCAUCAUGACGGAGGCACGAGGACAUUGAUGUAUCGGAGACAGCGCCAGAGGGCUGGGGGAUUGAUGGUCGAAUAGCCCGAGGAGGCAGAUGAGCCAGAUGAGAUGUAUUCCGACAUACACAAUAAUGCAUUAGUAUAUAGUAAUAGUAUUAUGGAUUAGAUUUUAUUUUGACAUCAUGCUACUUUAUUAUUGUUAUCAGCUUUUUUGACAUUUAUUGAUCUUUUAUUAAUAUAUGACAUUUUUGGGCCAUCUGAAUUUAUGAACAUCAUUUUUUGUAUAUCGAUUGUAUGGUUUAAAUCUUGUCACAUAAUAUGGUAUAUAACGCAAAUAAAUCUUCAACUGAAUACACGUAAACAAAACAUAACAUGAAACAUUCUGUUUUGAUACGUUACUGAGAUGUAACUCCGUAACAUAAACGGAAAUGCAUCUCCAUAAUAUUUUAAUGUCCAAUCAGAAUUUGGUAUGUCCAGAGAUGCGUCUCCGAAAUCUGGAGGCAUUUUAGUAUUUUCACAUGGUGUGUAAGCAACUCAUAGGGUGCAUUAAGAAAUUCCCUUUUAAAAAAAUCGUGCCCGAGUCCAUACUCGUGUUGGCACUAAAAUUUAUAUAAGUACUUGUAUUUUAUGUAUAUCUAAAUAUCCAUUUAUCCAUAUUUCUAAUAAAAGAUUAUCGGCAAUUAUAAUUAACUAUCAUUUUAAAUCUUUAACAUUUUAAAAAUUCAAGAAAAUUAUUUUCGAGUUAAAAUAUAAAUAAGCAUUUAUAUUAAAACGAUUACAAAUUUAAUAAUAAUAUAUUUAAUAAAAUUGAUAUAUAUAUAUAUAUAUAUUAAAAGUAUGUAUUAUGCGGAUAUGAUAUGAGGUGGUUACUUACAUUGUCCAUACUCAGUUAUUUUAGUGGAUAAUUGUUGGUACCUAUUUUCAUAUCCAUUUUGCGGAGUUUUACCCUGCUCAUUAUGAUUAAUUUUUUUGGAUAUUCACUCCGAAUGAGUCUAAUUGUUAUCCCUACAAUCAAACUAAAUUGUUCAUCAAUAAAGAAAAUGAGAAGUCUUCCUAUCACUCGCCAUUUAUAUUUGGCACUCUGACUAGGGGCUGUUAUUACCUUUAUGUAUUUAUUAAAUAUAUUUAAUUUUUUUUUGUGUUUAUUGGAUUUUUCGGAAAAAAAUACUAAAUUUUUUCAAAAUUUCAGAUAAAAACACAUUGAUUUAUGGUAAAUAUUUGAGAAAUACUUGAUUUUUUGAUUUUUUUUUAAUAAUUGUCGGUUUUUUAAGAACGGUCGCAAAUUCAUUUUUGACAAAUAAAAAUUAACACUAACGGAUUUUUAGAAAUAUCUGUUAAAUUAUAACACUUUUCAAAAAAUUUGAUGGUGUAAUUUUUAUUGUUUUUGUUUUACCAAAUAUGAACUAUCAAUAUUUUUUAAAAUUUUAAAAAUGAUCAAAAAUGUCAAAUUUAUAAAAUUAAAAAAAAAACUAGUAUGUUAAAUUUAUUUUUCAAAAAACCGAUAAAGAAUGCAUACCCUAUCUUUUAAAAUACAUUACCAAUUUUAUUUAUUUAUAUAGGAUGUUUCAAUUAUAUUGCUGGGUUUUUCAUUUGCUCCUUUUUUAUUAGUUUUAACAAAUACAUUUUGAAAAAAAAAGGCAUGUCGUGUCUCAGAAUCAGAAUUUUAUAAUAAUAACAACAUUAAUAAUAAUAAUAAUAAUAAUAAUAAUAAUAAUAAUAAUAUAUUUUAUAUAUUAUUAUUAUUAUUAUUAUUAUUAUUAUCAUUAUUAUUAUUAUUAUUAUUAUUAUUAUUAUUAUUAUUAUAAAGGAAUUCUUAUAUACCGUUCUAAAAAUUUGGGUAACAAUACUUUAUUUAAGUGGUGAAACACAAUUGGUAAGAGGAUUUUACAUCUAACUUUUAAGUAGUAUUAUUUUUUUAGCUUUUUUAAUUAUAAUAAGUAAUUUUUGGCUAAUUACUUACUUUGUUUGGCUAAUUACUAACUGACUAUUUGCCCUUCCUCUUCUUUUUAUCUAUCUUUUUAUAAUGAUAAUGUUUUUUUAUAAUUAAAUAUAUAAAUCGAAUUGUGUAAUUUAUAAUUUUAAUUUUUUUUUUAGAUUCAUGAAAUAACAUGAAAGUUUAACAAGAAUGAUUAAUUUGCUAAGUUAAAUAUGUUAGAUUGGGUAAGAAUGAAAUAUGCUAGAUUUGAACAAUAAUUAUGUUAGAUUUGAACAAAUAAUUAUGAAAUUUUAGUAUUAAAGCAUCCGCUACAUCUAUAUCAGUAAUUUAUCCUUUUAUAGUAUUUUUGGUUUAGUUUUUUAUUUUAAGUUUUAAAGUUUUGUUGAUAUUAAAUAUUAUGAAAAAUAUUUAUUUUUCUAAAUAUAUGUAAUUUAGAGAAAAGAAGUUAAAAUUAAAACACGAGUAUUUCAUGCAAUCAAAUGGCCAGUUUUAAGGCCACUCUAAUUUUUCAUUAAUAGCAAUUUUUAUCUUUUAAAAAUAAUAAAUGUUAAAAAAUGUAUUUGUUUUCUAGAUAAUUUAAUCCUAGAACUAAAAUACCUUACUUUAAAAAAUAUCUCCAAUUUUAUUUUACAUCUUAGUUUAGAGUUGACUUUUAAAAUUCCAUUCUAUUUUAAACAAUAUAUUUUCAAGAAUUGAGCAUAAAAUAAUUUUUUAUAAAAUUUUAUUUUAAAGUAGUAAUAUUAAUAUAAUUAAUUUAAAUGUAAUUAUUAUGAAAUUAUUUUACACUCAAUUUCUCGAUUUUUAUACCCAAAAAAAAUAUUUAUAAUUUAUAAUUAAAUAAAUUAAUAAUCGCCUUAUUAAAUUUUAUAUUAAUUACUAAUAUUUAUAUUAGUAUAGGUGUAAAGACUCGUCAAAAAGGGCGUCAAAGCUCUCUCAAAAUAGACGAGGUAUUAUUUCGCCCAUGCAAAGACUCCCUAUCCCUUUAUUUAUUGGAAUGAUCACCCUUGAUUGUGUUACUCAUUUCUUAAAUGACUUGUUUGGUUUGUAAUAACGUGGAGAAUGACGUGUUUCAUUCUAUAACAAUGUGAAGAGAGAGUAAAAAUGGAGGUCAUGUUCUCCAAAAUAAUAAGAAAUUUAUUGCCCACUUCAUACACCUACAAGUGGUUACUACUUCCUAGGAGUUUGAGAUACAUACCUAAAGACUUCUAUAAAUACAUCAACCAACCUUAAGGUUGAAGUUGAAUCCAAUUUAUCACACAUACAACCCUAUACACCUUUGACAAUCCUACACUAGAAGGGGUUACCACAUAUUGUACUUUUAACGAGUACAAUGGGCAUCCACCGCGUGAUCGAUAAAACUGACCUACCAUGCUUACCAUUAUUCACCAUUCAUUUUUGCCAUCUUCCCAAAGGAUGAAAAAACAAAGCUUUGAGAAUACUGUUGUUAUGGACCGGCCACAUACUCAGGAAUCCGGCCCCACCUUCAGAGAUCCCAUUACCGCAAGGAAAGGACUUCUCAAAUUGGUCUGAACCAAACGGACCCCUUUUCCGAUCCAACUGCCUUCAAGCAUAAUUCCUUGGAUCCAUCUCAACAGAUAUUAAAGCUUUGGGAACAUCCCUCAUAACCGGGGAACUUUCAGUAAUAUAUAACCAGAAGAUUCGUCCCUCCAACGCAUCUAAAGGUCAUUUGCAUCUCAUGUCGGUUAGUUAGCGAGUUGGUUAUUCAACUCCUCUGUAUAUGUGAAUGAUGUGUUUUCAGAUAACAGUUUUCAAUACAAUUUGAAUACUCUCUCUCAUCCCUCACAUACUGAGUUGAGCGUUGGAGUCCUAACCUUGGUGGUACACCCCCUGCUUUGUCGCAUUGGAAGCUCUCCUCCAUCGUAGCUUCCGUGAGCGCAUCUAUUCCUAGUUCCGGUACGGAACAUUGGCGCCGUCUGUGGAAAACGACACUUGAUUCCAGCGUAUCUUAUGAUUCCCUAUUUUCAAGUGCAUUACUCUAGCGUGAUAUUCUCCUCGACUUUGAACUGGAGGAUUCAAGGGAUAGAAGGAAAUUCAAAUGCGGUCGAUAACAUCGAAUUCAACAUUGAUUCUCUAGAUCUUCAUUGCUUAGUACCUUUGAACAUCAUUGAUCUAUAGAAAUGGAUGGAUCGAGAAUUUCUCAUUCUGUCACUGUGCACCAAGCCGUCUUGGCAGCCUCUAGUGUGACACGACCAACCACCAGUCGACCAAGCGCCACUCCUCUCGGUGGCGAAGCAAACCUCAAUAACAACACUCUUCAACAACCAAUAGUGAUUCUCCCUCUACCGCAGGAGGGAACAUUCUUGCUCUGAACUCAAUCUCCAAAUCCUACGGAUUUUCCUGAGAUCUCACGAGGUUUUGGAAUUCUUGAGAUAAACCUCAGAUCCCACGGCAUGAACGAGUUGAUCAACGACAUUAUAAUAUCGUUCAACAACAAAACUCUAAGGCGGUAUAAGAAAGGUUCCUUCGCUUAAAGGAAAGCCUUCAGCACGUUCUACUCCGGGAAAAUAUAGUACAAGAAGCUGAUUCGAAGAAAAAACAAAUUGCCCAACCAGAUCCUUCUACAACAUAAGAGGAAGUAAAAGUCCAGAAAUCGAAAGAACGUUCCCCAAAAUAGUCCAGGAGGAGACCGAGGGAGUUGCGCUCCAUCCCCGGACCUUGAUGAGUGUCAACCAAAUCAAGAGCAACCUAAAAAUCAUUUAUGUGCUUGGAUCUUGGAGAGUGAAAACCCAUAAAUCCAUGUAAAAACCUCCCAAAUUGGAAGAAUACAACGGAAAGGGGAUCCCAACGAGCAUGUGCAACUCGUCAACGACUGACUCAACUACUACUGCACCGGUGAUGCUUCCAAAUGUAAGUUAUUGGCAUUGACGUUGGUCGAACUGACACAAAUAAGGUUCAACUGCCUUUUUAACGGUUGCAUCGAGUCAUGGACAAAUUUUUGUGAUCGACUUACCGCAUAUUUUACCGCAUGAAAAAUAAAACCACUCAAUAUCGCCGCCCUUGUUGUAUCGUGUAGGAGGAAAAAGAUAGAAUGUGAUCCUACAUUGAUCGGCACACUCAAGUUAUAAUAGAAGUAGAAGGAACCGAAGAAUAUCUCCUGUGUUGGAUCUUAGAGAAUGACCUCCUUCGUGACCAUCCUUUUCAAACCAAGUUGGAAAAGAAAAAGGUGAAGGCGACUCAAGAGAUGUUAAAUCUAGAUCAACCAUAUAUAACACUGGAGGAGAAACAGAGCACUCGCUUCAAUAAUAGGCCUCAUUUAUUGAUAAUUGUCUUGAGCGCCUCAUAGGAAAAGAUCCCCGUAGCGGAGAGAAGAUAUCGACAAAGGGACAUACAACCUAUACAAUAGGUAUACUCAUCUAAACACUUCCAUGGGACGAAUCUACCUAGAGUGUGCCAACACCGAAUUCAGGAAAGCAGGAAUUUGACCUCCUAAUACUGUACGAGAAUCCACCCGAACAGAUAAAUUAAAGUAUUUUUCAUUUCCAUAGGGGGCAUGGCCAUAACACCGACGAUUCCAUCCAACUCAAGGACGCGAUUGAAUCUUUAAUCAAGAGAUGGCGUCUUUCCAAAUACAUUCAAGGCAACAAACGAGACCGAUAAGGAUCCCCUAAAACUAAAUCCCCAGUGAAGCUUCCCGAGUCCGAUGCUGGCAUUGAGAAGGGGGAAACUAGCAAGAGAAAACCGCUGCAUAUUUUCUUUAUCAUUGGUGGGAUACCUCGGGAAAAUUCCCCUUCCAAAGGGACAAUCAAGAGCAAGAUCGUUUAGACGAUGGUCGUCUACAGGGGUGGAGGCAACUCGUUGCCUAGUACCUCAUACCUACCCAUGCUGGAAUUCUAAGACUCCAAAAAAGUUAGAAGGAUACCCAACAAUUUGUUCCCCUUGGUUAUCAUAACUUUUGUGGACAAUUCAACAUUUCAUGGAUCCUAAUAAAUGGAAGAAACUUGUGUAACAUCCUUUACUCAUUGUUAUUCGAGAAAAUUAGCCUAAACCGGGAAAGUCUUAUAUCAUACGACGAUUCAGCCUUCUUGUCAUGUGUGAUGAACAGUCUGAGUCCAAGUACCAUUGAUCUUUGAAUCUUUCUUCAUCUUUUGUUGUGACCAUCAACAUCACUUAUUUUUCUUCUUCUUCGUGUUUUAUAAGUCUUGCAUUACUUUCAUGAGUAUUCCUUUUGUUUUGAGGAUAAUCACUAUCAUAUUGACCAUGCUUCUAACAACUGAAGCACUGAAUAUGACUCUUAUCAGGUUUCAACUACCACAUAUUCCUCUACCUGUAGCCUCGUCUACCUGAUUGUUUUGAUUUGUGGGUUGUCUCUAGUUCGACGAAUUUCCUUUUUGUUGGUAAUUCCUACCGUUUGAAUUGUUGUAACUUCCUCUACCUCUAUUGUUGUUCCAUAUUCCUUUGCCUUUAUUUUCUUUUGUUGAUUGUGCUUGCAGAGCUAUAUCAUAUUUCAUCUUGCUUGUGGAUCUUGACAUAUAUUCUACUAUGACUACAACCACAUGAUUGAAUUUUGGAAGCAAUGACCUCAAGAUAUUUGCAACUAUUGAUCUUGAUGUCAACAUUUCUCCUCAUAUCUUGAUUUGAUUCACCUGUAUUGUUACCUUAGUGAAGAAAUCAAUCACACUUUCACUUUAUGCCAUUUGAAGCAACUCAUGCAUUCUUUUGUGAGUUUGUAACCUCACCUCUUUCACCUUCUGAGCACCACUAAAAGAUUUCUCCAUGAUGUCUCAUGCUUCCUUCGAUGAGUUUACAUCACGAACUUUCUCAAAGUUGUCUGGAUCAACGCAUUGAUGGAUUAUAAAGAGAUCUUUGUAAUUUUUCUUCUACAAAUCAUUAUGUGCAGCCUUUUGUUCAUCUGUGGCAUUGUUGCAAAUUGUUGUUACUCAAUUCUUCACAAGAUCCCAAACAUCUUGAUAGCAGAAGACAACCUUCAUAUGCUUACACCAGUUUCCAUAAUUUUUUUCUUUCAAGAUGGGAAGAUUUGUUGGAAAAUGCCCGUUUGGAAGAGAAGUCGUUGUUCUAUGCUCCCCAAGAAUCGCAAUCAGUGCUCUAGAUACCAUAUGUUGGAAUCAAUCUUGAUAAAAAAAGAUUAUAUCACUUUCUUAAUUGAUUCAAGAUUCUCAUUCUUCACUCUUCACUCUUCACUUGAGUGAUUCAACCACACAUUAGUUGCAAGACGAUUCCCUCGCACAAUGAUUUAAAACGAAAGAUACUUUUGAAGUAAUGAGGGAGAAGAUAGAAUUGAGAAAGAGUAUGAGUUAUUGAAGUGAAAGGAGGGAAAUUUUAUUGAUCAAUAUGUUAAUAAUAAGUUUCUAUCUCAGUCUAUAUUGUACUAAUCUCAUUAUAAAUAAGAUUGUUUGCACAUCACACAAUCUCAAACUAACUAACUAAUUUUAACAAGCUAUUAUUCGACUCUAUCGAAUACAUAUUGCUUCGACUACGACUAAUUGUAUUCAACUCUUUGUCAAAUACAUGCAUUUUCAUCUACUAUAAAUUGUAUUUAAUUUUCUGUCAAAUACAUGUAAAUUCAACUAUUACAAAUUAUAUUCAACUAGUACUCUAAAUACUAUGUUCGACUUACAAACAUGUUUAAUACAAAAAAAAAAUUACCUAUUUAAUAAAUGGUUCACCGAACCGAACACAUUUGUUCGAUUUAAAAAACUUCAUUAUAGUUUAAUUCGGUUAUCUCCUAUGAAUAACCCUAAGGGAGAAAGGAUUUUGGAGUCCUAAGCAGCCGUGUGAUAAUAAAUAAGUACAUGGUAUGGUGAAUUGCAAUUAAUGAUUUGCAUAUCCUGUCUUGUUUAUUACUGCUAUCCUAACUUCCGAACUUAGUUAGAUGCAAAUUUGGUGAAAAACAUCACAUGCCCACACGUUCCAAGGUACCAACCCAUUCUGGCAUUCUUACAUUAACCGACAAUAAUGGUUACAACUUUCCCUUCAAUUAUUUAAUUUUUGUUACUAUAUCCAUACGUGUAAAACUGUACUACUAUCCACACACAUUGGGAUUGUUUUUCCAAAUUCUCAACUACGCAUUCAGAUUAUCAAAACUCAGUAAAUUUACCUCGCUAAUCACACUACACAACAACAUAAUGAGUCAUCAUAGAUUCAAUUAUCUACCAUUGUUCACUUCCUUGCCGAAUACGACAAUUUAGUUAAAUUCUCAUUAUAUGCUACCUUCACUCUCUUCUUACCCUUUACUCUAGGCACAAAAAUGAAUGGUUAUUCAAAGAUUGGUAGCACUCCUACUACUACAACCCAGAAAUCAAGAUCUAUAGAUUUUUCAGAUAUUUUCUCAUUUUCUCAAACACCAAAACCCAUCAGGAACACUACUACUGUUGUCCCUCCAACCACUCUUGAAGCAAUUAAUGAUAACGAGGUCAUCAAGAAUGAGGGAGAGAGAUUUGGAGUGAUACUAGGUAGGAGCUCUUCGGUUUCUUCUUCAUCUUGUUCUGCAUCUGGGUUUCAGGCA
rnacentral:lncRNA from 1 species